rnacentral:rRNA from 1 species
CGAAGGGUGCAAGCGUUGUUCGGAUUUAUUGGGCGUAAAGCGCGCGCAGGCGGAUCUGCAAGUCAGGUGUGAAAUCUCGGGGCUUAACCCCGAAAGUGCGCCUGAAACUGCAAGUCUAGAAUGUCGGAGAGGGAAGGGGAAUUUCUCAUGUAGGGGUAAAAUCCGUAGAUAUGAGAAGGAACACCAGAGGCGAAGGCGCCUUCCUGGACGACGAUUGACGCUGAGGCGCGAAAGCGUGGGGAGCAAACAGGAUUAGAUACCCUGGUAGUCCACGCCGUAAACUAUGAGCACUAGUUGUAGCAGGCAUUAACCCCUGCUGUGACGUAGCUAACGCAUUAAGUGCUCCGCCUGGGGAGUACGGUCGCAAGACUA